rnacentral:lncRNA from 1 species
UUUUCUCUCUCUAAAUAUCUCUCUCAUCUCUCUAGUUCUUUCGCCCAAAUUCACGGCGUUGGCGGAGAGCGAGCUUGCGAACGCGUUUGGAGCGACGGAUCGAGCUUUCGUGCGCUCGUUGGAGCGGCGUUCUUCCGUCUCGGUGUUCACUUUUUGGUAAACUUUUGGGAUUUGGCUUAAUCCUUAACUUUAAGUGUUCUAGUAGCCUCUAAUGAGCAUUCUUAGCAUGUUGCUCCAUUUAAUUUGGAUUAUUUGGAGGUAAUUGUAUGUUAGGGCUCAAAAAUGGGAUUUUGC